rnacentral:rRNA from 1 species
UCUGAAUUUGUGUGAAUCUGGCGUAAGCCUGCGCUAACCAAAGGUGUGGACGGUGUCCCCGGAGAGGCCGGCUUCCGCGUCAGGUGGCGGGAGGGUGUACUAAGGAAUGGUCACACCCGCUGGUAAUUUCUGGAAGGGCUUAAUACAUGCACACUACAUAACCCGUGUGGGGCGGCAUGGGGGUAGGCGCUGGCGGCAGCGGUCGGAUGGUUGAUCAAAGAAGAUCAAUAAAACCGCGAUAGGACACACCGCUCAACAAAGGAGUGUGGACCGGUGCCUGGGAGACCUUCCCCGAGGGUGUCCUGCAUGUGGUCUCAGACCUAUCAACUAGAAGGCAGCGCUACACGGACAUGCCUACGGKACAACGAUA